rnacentral:tRNA from 2 species
GGGGGCGUAGUUCAGUUGGUUAGAAUGCCGGCCUGUCACGCCGGAGGUCGCGGGUUCAAGUCCCGUCGCUCCCGCCA